rnacentral:rRNA from 1 species
AUGGCCGCCGCCUGCGGCUGGGCUCCUACCUCGGCGACGUCUCCGCGCUCUCCUCCCCGCGUCCCCUCCUCCUCGCCGGUAACUUCCCCUCCCUCCCCCCCAUCCCCUCUCCCGCUCCACUACAUCACCUCACCUAUUACGCCGCGCGCUCCCGCAGGGACCGGCUCGGAGCUGCUCGUCUACGACCUGGACGCCGCCAGGCUCCUCGCCUCCUUCCGGGUCUUGGACGGCGUGCGCGUCCACGGCAUCCGUGCCCCCAGCGGCUCGCCCCCCGCCGACGGGCGCACCGUCGCCGUCUUCGGCGAGAGGAGGGUGAAGCUCCUCAGGCUCCGCGUCGACGCGGAGGAUGGCGGCGUACGGCUGGAGCUGGAGCAGAGGCUCCCCGGGUUCGAUCACUGGGUGCUCGACGCUUGCUUCCUCGAGGUGGACGGGCUGCUCGCGGUCGGUUUGGGCGACAAUUCAGUGGCGUUGUGGGAUUUGACGGACCGCGUGUUUGUUACCAGAGUGAAUUCUCCAGAGAAGUGCCUUCUGUAUUCAAUGAGAAUGUGGGGGGACUCUGUUAGAUCCCUCCUCGUGGUGUCUGGUACCAUUCUGAACGAGAUUCUUAUUUGGAAAUUGGUACCCGAAACCCGGAGUUCUUCCUUGUUAAGCUCGGACGAGUUGGGUGCUACUAGUGUAGAGAACCACAGGAUCUUACCAAUGAAACAGCCAAAAUUGUUAUGGCAGUGCUCGCAUGUGGAUGUUAAGUUUGCUCGCAUGUGGAUGUUAAGUUGUCAGCCACAGGAUCUUACCAAUGAAACAGCCAAAAUUGAUGAUGUGGACAUUAUACCCAAACUGACACUUUUCGGACACAGUGCUAGAAUUUGGGAUUGUUGCAUAUCUGAUUCUAUAGUUAUAACUGCUGGCGAGGAUUGUACUUGCUGCAUUUGGGGCAUGGAUGGAAAGCUAAUCAAAACAUUCAAAGAACACAUUGGCCGAGGAUUAUGGCGAUGUUUAUAUGAUCCAAGCUCACUAGUUCUGAUCACCGCGGGGUUUGAUUCUGCAAUCAAAGUGCACCACCUAUGUAACUCCUCUUUUCAUGACAUAUUGGAAGAAAACGUGGCCCCAGAUGGUCUGAAAUACGAUUCUGAGGUGUUUGAAAUAUCUUCUCCUAUAGUAUCAGGACAGCAUGGUGCCUUGGAUAGCAAAAGCGAAUAUGUCCGAUGCUUACAUUUUGUGCAAGAAAAUGUUCUCUAUGUUGCCACAAACAAUGGAUAUCUGCAUCAUGCUGAGCUCUCUGAUACAAAAGAUCCAAGAUGGACUGAGGUUAUUCAGGUCACUGAGAAAGCACCAAUUAUAUGUAUGGAUGUAAUGACAGGGUGCUCAGACAUUUCUUUGGAUAAGGAGGAUAUAAUUGCCCUUGGAGACGGUCGUGGAAAUGUUACUAUUGUCCGUUUAAGCAGUCCCAGUCUUCUUGAACCUAAAAUGGAUUUAUCUUUCACCUGGCAAGCUGAAAAGGACAGGCAACUACUAGGACUGUACUGGUGCAAGUCACUUGAAUGUAGCCACAUUUUCACAGCUGAUCCUAGAGGCACUCUUAAGUUAUGGAACAUAAGAAAUGCCCUUUUCUCAAAUGGCCAUCCGAUUACUCAGGAGGUUUCACUUGUUGCAAUGUUUGAAUCUCCCUUUGGGGCUCGAAUCAUGUGUUUAGAUGUAUCACUUCAAGAUGAGAUCCUUAUAACAGGUGAUAAGAAGGGUAACAUCGCUGCCUUUCCUUUUCAUAAAACAUUGGCAGCACAUGACAGCAGUGAGGCACAACAGAAGAUACCUUUACGUGACCGUUUUAAAGGAGCUCAUGGCAUUUCUGGUGUCACAAGUGUUCAGAUAAUCACCUCAGCUUCAGAUCAUAUUGAAAUCCACACUCUGGUUCAAAUAUCCUGCGGAGGAUGGCGGCGCCCUUAUUCUUACUAUCUUGGGACAGUCCCUGAGUAUCAAAACUGUUUCGCCUUCGUAAAGUUCCAUGGAAGGGAAGUGCAUUCUCUUUGCUUCAUAGAUCCAGCAAGCUAUUCAAUUCCUCAGAAGAGUACGGAUUUGUGGAUUGCAACCGGGUGUGAAGAUGGAACCGUCCGGCUUACAGGGUACUCGGCUAGUAGUGCCGGAAGAUGGUGCUCAUCCAAGCUGCUUGGGGAGCAUGUUGGCGGGUCAGCUGUGAGAGAUACGUGUUUCAUCCCAAAAACAUACACAUUAGCAGAUAAAUCGCGCAACUCUAGUGUCAGUUCUGCCGACACUUGGGUCGAAAACAAGGACACCACUUACAUAUUGAUAUCUGUUGGAUCAAAGCAAGUUCUUACGGCUUGGAUUCUAGAACCUAGAAUUGCAGAGAACAACAAACAAGUGUGUUCGAGUGAUCGAGAUUUAGACACCAAGCAAAGCUCAGAAUGCUCAGACAAUAGUGGUUCAGCCGUUACAUUUCAGUGGCUUUCUACCCACAUGCCACCAAAGCUUGGCACCAAUAGGUUGAAAGCUGAUCAUGUAAAGCUGAACUUCGAGGAAGGCGGGAAAGGAAAUUCCUCUGCUCAACCCAAUCUGGCUAUUAUGGAUCAGAUGGAAAAUGACUGGCGUUACCUUUCUGUUACAGCAUUUCUUUUGAAACAUCCGGCUACCGAAUUGACAGUUUGUUUUGUGGUUGUUGCUUGCUCUGAUGCAACAGUUAUUGUCCGUGCGCUUCUUUUGCCUUCUCGACUAUGGUUUGAUGUUGCCUUGCUGGUCCCACAGGCAUCACCAGUUCUUGUGCUACGGCAUAUUGUCGUCGCCUCUAGUGCCCACUGUGAAGGUGAUGCUUAUAAUGGGGAUAGAUACAUUAUCGUGAGUGGAUCUACAGAUGGUAGCAUCACAUUGUGGGACCUAACAGACACCAUUCAUGGCUUUAUGGAACUAGUAUCAGAGACUAAGCCGCACAUGGUUAACGACUGCCAAAAGCGGCCCAAGACAGGAAGAGGGAGUCAGGGUGGUCGCCGUCGGUGGCGACCACUGGCAAACAGUUCUGUGAAAAAGGGUAAUGAACAGGCAUUGCUCCCCAGUGAGAACAAUCUGAAUACCUGCGGUGCUGCUGUGGGAAAUUCACGCGGAACUCCCAGAGCGGAAGAAAAUGUGGAAUUCCUGCUGGCGGGAGGGUGCGCCGUCUGUUUUUUGGGGAUGAUUUGUAACUCCAUUUGA